UCGGGGAUCGUCUAAUGGUAGGACUUCAGGUUUUGAUCCUGACUAUUGGGGUUCGAAUCCCUAUCCCCGAACAA
rnacentral:tRNA from 1 species